CGUAGGUCACGUUGGGAGGGGUGCAGAGCACCGACUCGGACACGGGGGAGCUGGGCACCGAGCUGCCGGAGGCCACCGAGUCGCGGAAAGGCGACGGAGGCGUCAGAGCAGGUACCAGAGCAGCGUGGUCAUACACACAGCAGCUGUACGGAGGAGAAGAAAGCAGAUGACGGAAAACCCAGACCCACAUUCCAUUUAAGUGUGUCACAAGUGUUGCUUUUCUUUUUGUUUCAAUGCACCAUCCCCGACACUUACAAUGGACUGCAAUUCACAUAAAGGCCCUGAUUCACAGCGGCUGGUUUGGGAUUUCCACACCGGGGAUUUUUAACUAGGUAGUGUUAAGGAAGUCCAGCAAAAGACAGAUGGUUAGACCCUGGGUUAGUCCUUCAGCAUAGUUUGUGAUGCAAAUGAGACGAAAGGAAGAUUCAGAGAAAGCAGAAGUUACUGAGACAAAAGCCCUUCCAUGGCCUUUUACUCAUUGAGCUUUGGAGAAGAAAAAAUGUUGGGAUACCAGCAGGACUCCAGCUUUAUUGGCUUAGAUCUUUGUGGGACCAUUUUAAAACCAAUUAAAUAGAAAGAGGAGGAGGAGGGGGAGGAGAAGGAGGAGAAGGGGGAGGAGGAGGAGUGGGAGAGGGAGGAGAAAGAAGAAGAAGAAGGAGAAGGAGGAGGAGGAGGGAAAGAGAUGUAUUGUGUAUGUACUCAAACUCUAUUCUGUAUGUUGUAAUUAAUAACUCUGGUCUUGCUUUUGGACUUUUAGCUUUUUUUUUUUUCUGUAUAACUCUCAGCAGAUGGUGGUGCCUUGCCACAGCAUACUAUUAAUAACAGCGGUGUUAAUACUUAAAUCAGGAAGUUUAUUUUUUUGUGUAUGUGUGUGUGUUCAGUUUGCUUUUUCACUGUAUCCGUGAAAACAACAGAGAAAGUAGCACGAUGUUAACACAUUUUUGACAUUAAAAGGAAUAGGGAUAAGGAACAGUUUUUUUCAUAGGUGGAUGUGUGAAAUAGACUAUUUUGUAUCAUGGUCUUUUGUUUGGGAAAAUGUAUGAAAUGAUCAGUAGCUAAUAUAAAGGUUUAUUUAAUCAUUUUGAAAAUACAAGAAUGAGUACUUCAAAAUUAUGUGUGUGUCACAUUUACAAUGACAGUAAUGUUUUGACAUUUUAUAUAUUAUUAUCUUGAAAAGGGAAGUGAGCCACUAAGUACGGAUUGUUAAAGAAAUUCUGAUACCUAUUACAGAAAAUUCUGGAUAAAGAAGUCCCAAAAUAGGUACAGUAGCCAAAAUUUUGAUCUCAUUAUUUGGGAAAAGGUAGUUCUUCUAUAUAGCUUAUAAUUUAUAUGCUGUAUUUUUAACUGUCUAGGAAACAUCCUAUCUCCAAAAUACGAUAUGAAAAUUAAUAUUUCUCUUAAAUAUAUGCUUACUAUAUUCCUUGAGAAUGUAGAAGUCCUUGUAAAUGCAAAAUUACAGACUUUUCAGCUUCCACA